ensembl:lncRNA
GUCUCCUUCCUGUACUCCCCACGCUGGCCCUGCUCCUGCCCUGGCCCUGCUGAACUGCCCAGGUUCAGCCCCCGACUCUCGCUCCCCAGCACUUCCUGCCACGCCCUUCCCUACAAGCUUCUCCUCUUUUGAGCUUUUCCCUACAAUGCACCCAGGCUAAGCCCUCCCAAGCCAAAUCUGAAUGAGCUCUCCUGCAAGUAAAGCCUUGCCAUGGCUCCCCACACCCUUGAGAAUAAAACUCAAGCUCUACCUCCCACUUCACACGCCAGCACCUGGCUCAAUGAGAUCCUCUCCACUCCAGUGUCUGCUUCUAACUCUCCAAACACAUCACAAACGGCCUGGCCUUCCUGCUCACACACUUUCUGUGCCUCAGAUGCUCAUAUUGCCUGGCAAUUCCAGUUUCCCUGACGCUCAGGCCUCCCUCCUUCGGGAAGCCCUCCCUGCCCCAACCCCACCUCAGGCUCAGGCAGGGACACGUGAUGCUCGUCACCACGUGUACAGAGAUAUAAUCACCUAGUUACGCAUCCACCUCCUGGAUUCAACGACAAACGCCUUAAGGGCAGAGACUAGGUCUUUUUUAUCUCGGAUGCUGAGCACCUGGCACAAGGUCUGCACUUCACAGAAACUCAAAUGUCUUAAUGACUCAGUCCCCCUGGUUCUCCAGAAGUAGGAGUCAUCUUAGAUUCAGCUGUGAUGGGUAGCCAGUGACGCCUGUUGACUAUCUCCAAAAUCUCUCUGAAAUCCUGCUUAAAUCCUGCUUCCAUCUCCAUCCCCACUGCACUCCCCGGGCUGAAAUUAACUUCCUUCCUCCAACAUCCCCUUUGUACAAAUACAAUUCCUAUCUGGUUCCUGCCAGAGUCGCUUUACUGAAACACACAUCUGUUGUUAGUUCCAUGCCUGAGGACCCUCUGCAGCUUUUCACCACUUGCAGGGGCACUGGGGGCCCUCCACACUCUUUCCCCCUGUCCCCCUCCAAGCCCACCUACUGUCUACCCACACGCCCAACACUGGUCUGGCAGCCAUUCUCAGAACUCUCCAGACACAUCGAUGGCCCGUGCAGGCUUUCAGGCAUCCCUUUUGCCAGGAGCGGCCCACUGCCACCUCAUCUUCAAGGCCCAGUUUAGAGGUCAUCUCCUGGGUGGAACCUGCGCGGACUCCCCCUCCUGCCACGCAGAACUCACGCCUGGCCUCCACUCUGUCCUCUACCGCACUUUCAACGCUACCCCUUUCACUGCAAGGUCUGGUCCCUCACUGGGCCCCCCGCAGGUGAGCCAGGCCAGGCCCAGGCCGUGGCACCCGCUGCAAGCGCGCGCGUGAGUCAGCCACCGGCCAGGCUGUUUCCUUCGAUUUAACAAGUGCAGUGUUGAACAGCGGCGCACCCUGCCCGCUGUAACAAUGGGAAUAAAGAGCUCAGGAAUAAGACGUGCCUGGCUCAAAGCCAGGGGUGGGCAGGGCUGGGACCCGGACCAUCGGACUAGAAGUCUUAUUCACCAACAGUUAAACAAAACCCCGCACAGCCGGCGACGGCGGGCCUAAGAAACCACGGGGGGCUCCGGGGCCGGCGCCGGCAGUUCCGCACCGCCGCCACCGCGCUCCUGCGGACCGAGCUCCUUCUAUCUGCUACUCCACGCCGCGGAGCCGAGCGUUCCGUUCCCUGCACACACUCCUGCUUCCCGCAGCCGAAGUGGGAACUUGCGGGGACGCUGAUGCUUACGGCGCCCGCCAGCGAGAAGCAGACUGGACCGAAAGCACCGCUCUCCUGAGCCGGGCACGCCUCCAGCCUCGGCGCCCCGGUGCGCAUGCGCCCCCGGCCGCCGCCCGCCCCCGGCUCGCGUGCACACGCCGCGCCGCGCCCCGCCGUGCGCACGCGCAUGCGCAGCCCGCCCUGGCACGCGCCUCGGUCCCUGGGGCGGCGGCGCGGGUUGCGGGCGAGGCGCGGCCCGGGCGGGGCGCGUGGGCUCAGCUCCCUCUGCCGGCCUGCGCGCCGGCCUCCCGAGCGCCCACGCUGGGUGCCCCGGACCGGCCGGGGGUGAGCGGGCGCCGGGCGCCGGGCCGUGGGCCCGCGCCUCCCUCCCGGCCACGGGCGGACCCUGUUCGUCUUGAGUGGCGGCCGAGCGCACGGCUCUGCGGGCCGCGUCUCCCCGGCCUGUCCUCCGCGGCAGGCGGCCCCGAGGGCGGAGGCGGUCCACCUCUUCCUGGGCCUCAGUGCCACAGCCGGAAGGCGGGCAGUGAUCGUGAUCGUGCCUCCCGGGGCGGGCUGCACGUGAGGUCACAUGAGUUAGCGUAAAGAACUCAUUCAACCGUGUAAUAAAACUGCAAACAACAGAAGCUUCCCAGAAGGAGAUACACAGAUGGCAAAUAAGUACAAGAAGGAUGCUCGACCAUCAUCUUCAUGAGGGAAACACAAAGCCACAGUGAGACACGGCCACACCAUUGUCCGUCCACUCGAGUGGCCAAAGAAGGCUGACGUCGGCAAGCACCAAGGUUGCAGAGCUGCUGAAAUUCUCAUCCGUUGCAGACAAGUGGGCAAAAUGGUACAACCAAUUUGGAAGCAUUUUGGUGGUUUCUUCUAAAGUUGCCAUACACUUACCCUUCAACCCAGUACUCCCACUCCUAGGUACUUACCCAACAGGGACGAAAACGUGUCCGCACCAGACUUGUACUAAGUUCUCACAUUUUUAGUUGGAUCUCCAGUUAUCACGAUACAAAGGUUGUAGUUGGUCACGCUGAUUCAAGCACUUGUUGCCAUUCAUUUUAUUGUGACUCCUGAGGACAUGUUGAUAAUUUUCUAUUGGUUUCACUCAUAUCUCAUGCAGUUAUAAAAACAGUCUAUAUACUGGAGGUUUGUGGGUACUCAUUUUCAUUCUUUGGCUCAGCAAAGACUAGGGUUAAGUGUCUGGCCCUUUGCUGGUCCCUGUGUCUACAGAGAUGACCAGUCACGUCCUUGUGGACUAGUGGAGGGCAGAGUAGCAACUGGCCACGAGCCCUGACUUGAGCGACUGCCCGGUAAGAUCCUGAUUCUGAUCCUGACUCUGCCACUCCCUAGCCCCGUGACAAGUCAGUGUCAUCCUCUAGACAGUGGGUGUUCUGGUGGCUGAGCUCGAAGAUUAGAAUCUGUGAUAUUAUGAGUUAUGAUAAGAAAUUCAGUCACCUGUGCUCAACAAUGGGGAUAUAUUCUCAGAAAGCUGCGUCAUCAGGCGAUUUCCUUGUUGUGUGAACUUCGUAGAGUGUACUUACGAACCUAGCUGGUAGCCGGCUGCACACCGAGGCUCUGUGGUUAGCCUGGUGCUCCUCGGCUGCAAAGCUGUGCAGCAUGUCACUGUCCUGAGUACUGGAGGCAACUGUGACACAACAGUAUUUGUAUAUUUAGACAUAUCAAAACAGAAAUAGCACAGUAAAAAUAUGGUAUAAAAGAUAAAAAAUGGCACAUCUGUAUGGGGCGCUUACCGUGAAUGGAGCUUGCAGGUCUGGAAGCUGCUCUGGGUGAGUGAGUGGGUGAUGAGUGAGCAAAGGCCUCGGAUGUUCCUGGACACUGCCACAGACGUUAUAAACUGUACACUUAGGCUACACUAAAUUUAUAAAAAAAGAUUUUUCUUUCUUUAAUAAUAAACUAACCUUAGCUUACUGUACCUUUUUUACUUUAUAAACUUUAAUUUUUUUAACUUUUUGACUCUUUUGUGAUAAGACAGCUUGAAAUGCAAACACAUUGUACAGCUGUACAAAACUUUUCUUUGUAUCCUUAUUCUAUAAGCUUUUUAAAUUUUUUUAUUUUAUUCUUUUACUUCUUAAACUUUUUUGUUAAAAAGUAAGACUAAUGCACACAUUAGCG